UUAAAUUGAAGAGUUUGAUCAUGGCUCAGAUUGAACGCUGGCGGCAGGCCUAACACAUGCAAGUCGAGCGGAAACGAGUUAUCUGAACCUUCGGGGAACGAUAACGGCGUC
rnacentral:rRNA from 1 species